UAUCAACGCUGGCGGCGUGCCUCAGACAUGCAAGUCGAACGAUUAAAGCUCUCUUCGGAGAGUGUAUAGAGUGGCGCACGGGUGAGUAACACGUAAGUAAUCUACCUUUGAGUGGGGAAUAACAGUCGGAAACGGCUGCUAAUACCGCAUAACGCAGCGGCACCGCAAGGUGACAGUUGUUAAAGGAGCAAUCCGCUUAAAGAGGAGCUUGCGGCAGANAGCUUGUUGGUAAGGUAACGGCUUACCAAGGCUACGAUCUGUAUCCGGUCUAAGAGGACGGUCGGACACACUGACACUGAAUAACGGGUCAGACUCCUACGGGAGGCAGCAGUCGGGAA
rnacentral:rRNA from 1 species